rnacentral:rRNA from 1 species
CCUGGCGGCACUAGCGCGGUGGUCCCACCUGACCCCAUGCCGAACUCAGAAGUGAAACGCCGUAGCGCCGAUGGUAGUGUGGGGUCUCCCCAUGUGAGAGUAGGGCAUUGCCAGGC